rnacentral:rRNA from 1 species
GACGAACGCUGGCGGCGUGCCUAAUACAUGCAAGUCGAGCGCAGGAAAUCGACGGAACCCUUCGGGGGGAAGUCGACGGAAUGAGCGGCGGACGGGUGAGUAACACGUAAAGAACCUGCCCUCAGGUCUGGGAUAACCACGAGAAAUCGGGGCUAAUACCGGAUGGGUCAUCGGACCGCAUGGUCCGAGGAUGAAAGGCGCUCCGGCGUCGCCGGGGGAUGGCUUUGCGGUGCAUUAGCUAGUUGGUGGGGUAAUGGCCCACCAAGGCGACGAUGCAUAGCCGACCUGAGAGGGUGAUCGGCCACACUGGGACUGAGACACGGCCCAGACUCCUACGGGAGGCAGCAGUAGGGAAUCUUCCACAAUGGACGAAAGUCUGAUGGAGCAACGCCGCGUGGACGAUGAAGGCCUUCGGGUCGUAAAGUUCUGUUGUAAGGGAAGAACAAGUGCCGCAGGCAAUGGCGGCACCUUGACGGUACCUUGCGAGAAAGCCACGGCUAACUACGUGCCAGCAGCCGCAGUAAUAC